GCGGACGAAGCGAACUACAUCGGACGCUUUGGCCGCCGAGCGAAAAAAAAACACCAUUGAGCUCGACCUCAGAUCAGGUAGGAGUACCCGCUGAACUUAAGCAUAUCAAUAAGCGGAGGAAAAGAAACCAACAGGAAUUGCCCCAGUAGCGGCGAGUGAAGCGGCAAGAGCUCAGAUUUGAAAUCGUGCUAAUUUUUUUGGCACGAGUUGUAGAGUGUAGGCGGGAGUCUUUGUGGAGCACGGUGUCCAAGUCCCUUGGAACAGGGCGCCUGAGAGGGUGAGAGCCCCGUGGGGUGCCGUGCGAAGCUCUGAGGCCCUGCUGACGAGUCGAGUUGUUUGGGAAUGCAGCUCCAAGUGGGUGGUAAAUUCCAUCUAAGGCUAAAUACUGGCGAGAGACCGAUAGCGAACAAGUACUGUGAAGGAAAGAUGAAAAGCACUUUGAAAAGAGAGUGAAACAGCACGUGAAAUUGUUGAAAGGGAAGGGUAUUGGGCCCGACAUGGGGAGUGCGCACCGCUGUCUCUUGUAGGCGGCGCUCUGGGCGCUCUCUGGGCCAGCAUCGGUUCUUGCUGCGGGAGAAUGGGUGCCGGAAAGUGGCUCUUCGGAGUGUUAUAGCCGGCGCCAGAUACCGCGUGCGGGGACCGAGGACUGCGGCUUCUGUCUCGGAUGCUGGCACAACGGCGCAAUACCGCCCGUCUUGAAACAUGGACCAAGGAGUCUAACGUCUAUGCGAGUGUUUGGGUGUAAAACCCGUACGCGUAAUGAAAGUGAACGUAGGUCGGACCCCUUCGGGGGG
rnacentral:rRNA from 1 species